rnacentral:rRNA from 1 species
CUGGCGGCACGCCUAACACAUGCAAGUCGAGCGCUCACUUCGGUGGGAGCGGCGGACGGGUUAGUAACGCGUGGGAACAUACCCUUUACUACGGAAUAGCCUUUGGAAACGAAGAGUAAUACCGUAUACGCCCUACGGGGGAAAGAUUUAUCGGUAAAGGAUUGGCCCGCGUUAGAUUAGAUAGUUGGUGGGGUAACGGCCUACCAAGUCUACGAUCUAUAGCUGGUUUGAGAGGAUGAUCAGCAACACUGGGACUGAGACACGGCCCAGACUCCUACGGGAGGCAGCAGUGGGGAAUCUUAGACAAUGGGGGAAACCCUGAUCUAGCGAUGCCGCGUGUGUGACGAAGGCCUUAGGGUCGUAAAGCACUUUCGCCAGAGAUGAUAAUGACAGUAUCUGG